GUGGGGAAUCUUGCGCAAUGGGCGAAAGCCUGACGCAGCCAUGCCGCGUGAAUGAUGAAGGUCUUAGGAUUGUAAAAUUCUUUCACCGGGGACGAUAAUGACGGUACCCGGAGAAGAAGCUCCGGCUAACUUCGUGCCAGCAGCCGCGGUAAUACGAAAGGGGCUAGCGUUGCUCGGAAUUACUGGGCGUACAGGGCGCGUAGGCGGACAGCUUAGUCAGAGGUGAAAGCCCAGGGCUCAACCUUGGAAUUGCCUUUGAUACUGGCUGUCUUGAGUUUGGGAGAGGUGAGUGGAACUCCGAGUGUAGAGGUGAAAUUCGUAGAUAUUCGGAAGAACACCAGUGGAGAAGGCGACUCACUGGCCCAAUACUGACGCUGAGGCGCGAAAGCGUGGGGAGCAAACAGGAUUAGAUACCCUUGUAGUCC
rnacentral:rRNA from 1 species